GUUGGAAUGCGGAAGCAGAAUUAAUCAGAAAUUAAAAUUUCUUUAAUUCAUAAACAAGAUCGUUUAGAUGUUCACGUGUAUGUUAUAACAAGAAUUAAAGGAUUUGAAUAUUUUACCCAAAUUCGAUGAUCCACCUUUGAAUUGAUUCUGAACCACGAACUUCCGUCUCUUUCAAUUGCAAGAAUCUUGGUGCUUCAAACCUUCAAGCCUUCUAUGGUAUUCUCCAACGGAAAAACUACACCGGCGUGUGGGCACCUUCUUUUAAUUAAUCAAGAAACUAAUUCUUGAAAUUGGAAAUCAAGAAAUAAAAUAUUUCUCUCUCUAAAUUUGAAUUCUA
rnacentral:lncRNA from 1 species